GGUUCGCUAGUGUAAUCGGUAGCACACUCCGUCGCGUAAACUGACAGAUGUGGGUUCGAGUCCCAUGCGUACGG
rnacentral:tRNA from 1 species